rnacentral:misc_RNA from 1 species
UGGUUCCCGCAUCGAUGAAGAACGCAGCGAAAUGCGAUACGUAAUGUGAAUUGCAGAACUCAGUGAAUCAUCGAAUCUUUGAACGCACCUUGCGCCCUUUGGUAUUCCGAUGGGCAUGUCUGUUUGAGUGUCGUGAAACUCUCAACCCCCCUGUUUUGUAAUGAGACGGGUGUUUGGGCUUGGAUAUGGCUGCUGUCGAGCUCUUGCUACCUCGACUCAGCUGAAAUACGCGAGUGCAUCCAGCUUUUGAACAGCAAUGGCUUGACUUGGCGUAAUAAUGUUAUUCGCUGAGGACAUUGCAAUCAGUUUCGAAACCGUGAGCGCUUCCAAUGCGACAGUGUCCCUUUAAGCCUUAGACCUCAAAUCAGGCAGGACUACCCGCUGA